ensembl:lncRNA
GAAGUACAUCCUGGUGAAUGAAGUACAGUCUGGUGAAUGAAGUACAGUCUGGUGAAUGAAGUAUAUCCUGGUGAAGUACAGCCUGGUGAAUGAAGUACAGCCUGGUGAAUGAAGUACAGCCUGGUGAAUGAAGUACAUCCUGGUGAAUGAAGUACAGUCUGGUGAAUGAAGUACAGUCUGGUGAAUGAAGUAUAUCCUGGUGAAGUACAGCCUGGUGAAUGAAGUACAUCCUGGUGAAUGAAGUACAUCCUGGUGAAUGAAGUACAGCCUGGUGAAGUACAGCCUGGUGAAUGAGGUACAGCCUGGUGAAGUACAGCCUGGUGAAUGAAGUACAGCCUGGUGAAGUACAGCCUGGUGAAGUACAGCCUGGUGAAGUACAGCCUGGUGAAUGAAGUACAGCCUGGUGAAGUACAGCCUGGUGAAUGAAGUACAUCUUGGUGAAUGAAGUACAGCCUGGUGAAUGAAGUACAGCCAGGUGAAUUAAGUACAGCCUGGUGAAGUACAGCCUGGUGAAUGAAGUACAUCUUGGUGAAUGAAGUACAGCCUGGUGAAUGAAGUACAGCCAGGUGAAUUAAGUACAGCCUGGUGAAGUACAGCCUGGUAAAUGAAGUACAUCCUGGUGAAGUACGGCCUGGUGAAGUACAGCCUGGUGAAUGAAGUAGAUCCUGGUGAAUGAAGUACAGCCUGGUGAAUGAAGUACAGCCUGGUGAA